rnacentral:rRNA from 1 species
GGGUUAGUAACGCGUGGGAACGUACCCUUUUCUACGGAAUAGCCUCGGGAAACUGAGAUUAAUACCGUAUACGCCCCCUGGGGGAAAGAUUUAUCGGAGAAGGAUCGGCCCGCGUUAGAUUAGAUAGUUGGUGGGGUAAUGGCCUACCAAGUCUACGAUCUAUAGCUGGUUUGAGAGGAUGAUCAGCAACACUGGGACUGAGACACGGCCCAGACUCCUACGGGAGGCAGCAGUGGGGAAUCUUAGACAAUGGGCGCAAGCCUGAUCUAGCCAUGCCGCAUGAGUGAAGAAGGCCUUAGGGUCGUAAAGCUCUUUCAGUGGGGAAGAUAAUGACGGUACCCACAGAAGAAACCCCGGCUAACUCCGUGCCAGCAGCCGCGGUAAUACGGAGGGGGUUAGCGUUGUUCGGAAUUACUGGGCGUAAAGCGUACGUAGGCGGAUCAGCAAGUUAGGGGUGAAAUCCCGGGGCUCAACCUCGGA